rnacentral:rRNA from 1 species
UACAGAGGUCCCAAGCGUUGUUCGGAUUCACUGGGCGUAAAGGGUGCGUAGGCGGCGCGGUAAGUCGGGUGUGAAAUCUCGGAGCUUAACUCCGAAACUGCAUUCGAUACUGCGGUGCUUGAGGACUGGAGAGGAGACUGGAAUUCAUGGUGUAGCAGUGAAGUGCGUAGAGAUCAUGAGGAAGACCAGUGGCGAAGGCGGGUCUCUGGACAGUUCCUGACACUGAGGCACGAAGGCCAGGGGAGCAAACGGG